GGGUUGUGAGGUUAAGCGACUAAGCGUACACGGUGGAUGCCCUGGCAGUCAGAGGCGAUGAAGGACGUGCUAAUCUGCGAUAAGCGUCGGUGAGGUGAUAUGAACCGUUAUAACCGGCGAUUUCCGAAUGGGGAAACCCAGUGUGUUUCGACACACUAUCAUUAACUGAAUCCAUAGGUUAAUGAGGCGAACCGGGGGAACUGAAACAUCUAAGUACCCCGAGGAAAAGAAAUCAACCGAGAUUCCCCCAGUAGCGGCGAGCGAACGGGGAGGAGCCCAGAGCCUGAAUCAGUGUGUGUGUUAGUGGAAGCGUCUGGAAAGGCGCGCGAUACAGGGUGACAGCCCCGUACACAAAAAUGCACAUAUUGUGAGCUCGAUGAGUAGGGCGGGACACGUGGUAUCCUGUCUGAAUAUGGGGGGACCAUCCUCCAAGGCUAAAUACUCCUGACUGACCGAUAGUGAACCAGUACCGUGAGGGAAAGGCGAAAAGAACCCCGGCGAGGGGAGUGAAAAAGAACCUGAAACCGUGUACGUACAAGCAGUGGGAGCCUCUUAAUGGGGUGACUGCGUACCUUUUGUAUAAUGGGUCAGCGACUUAUAUUCUGUAGCAAGGUUAACCGAAUAGGGGAGCCGAAGGGAAACCGAGUCUUAACUGGGCG
rnacentral:rRNA from 1 species